rnacentral:rRNA from 1 species
UACAGAGGGGGCGAGCGUUAAUCGGAAUUACUGGGCGUAAAGCGCACGUAGGUGGCGACGUAAGUCGGGUGUGAAAGCCCCGGGCUCAACCUGGGAAUUGCAUUCGAGACUGCAUUGCUGGAGUACGGAAGAGGAGGGCGGAAUUCCCGGUGUAGCGGUGAAAUGCGUAGAUAUCGGGAGGAACAUCAGUGGCGAAGGCGGCCCUCUGGUCCAGUACUGACACUCAAGUGCGAAAGCGUGGGGAGCAAACAGG